ACAUGUCAUGCUGAUCUCAAAAUUGGUCCCACACAUCAGAAAUUACAAAAUAUGUCAAACAACCAUUAUAACUUGAACCUUUGUCACAUCAUGAAUACAAUCAAACAUAUCCAAACUUGGCACAUUGCAAUCAAACAUGGUUCGCAUCAGGUUUACAAUAAAAACUAGUCCACGUCAGGUAACACAACUAAAAAACUAGCUCCAAUGAUCGAGAAAUUUGUGCUUCUCCUGACUUCUUCGUCCUGGACCUCGCGACGAAACAUGAAUGAAGGCCAACAUCUGUAAGUUAUCAGACAAAAUGGUUAGGAACAAAAUAAAAGCAAAUCUAAUAGCACACUAACAUGUAGGAACAAGCAAAAUGGGGCAUAGAAAUCAGUGAAUACAGGUAGUAAUUGUCCUGUGUCAGGAGUUUUUUUUAAUAGCAAAGCACGUGUUAAGUUCUUAGUAGGCAUAAGAAGCUGCAGAGCACAACUUCAGUUCCCAACAGCAAUUGUGCUGCAAACUGUGUCCAUUCUGCAGCAUUGCCCAGAAAUCUAACAGUGACAUGGGGUGAAUCAUAGACACCAGGGAACAUUAGAAACAAUAAAUGAGCAGUCAUACUAUUUUCUGGAACAAAGAUACUGCAGAAUAAACAAAGGUUACUGAAAACAACAGGGCACGACACAUAUUCAACGAUUGAGGUUGCAGGGCUAAAUUUUAAAAACGGGGGAAAAGGUUGAGUCAACAUUAUCCACUGCAGAAAUUAAGAACCACAUUCCACACAAGAUCUCAUCAUGUUGGGUACAUAUAUAUCAUGUCCUAAUUAUGCUAGCAAACAGUAACCCCAUCACAGAAACACAACCUAGAGCCAAAAGUAAUUCAUGACUGCCAUCGGGUCAGAAGACGAUGUUACAAAAGGAAGGAGUACAUGGGGUGAAUCAUAAACGCCAGGGAACAUGCAUUAUAAAAAAUAGAUGAGCAUUCAUACCAUUUUCUAAGUCACCAGCAAGAAAAUAUAAUCUGUUUUUAGCCUAGAACAAAGAUAUUGCAGAAGUAACAAAGCUUAUAUAUGGAGAACAAACAGGACGAAGACUGCAUAAACUAGAAACAGGUUGCACACAAGAUAGCAUCAAACUUUAACAGUGUAGCAUCAGAUAACAUGUCAUGUUCUAAUUAUGAUUAAAAACAAACAGAGAUCAAAACUAAUUCCAAAACUAAGCCAUGCAUGAUAUAUCGCUGUAGAGCAAGAUCCAGCAGCUUACAUGACGAUUGAUGAUGCAGUGU
rnacentral:lncRNA from 1 species